rnacentral:rRNA from 1 species
CCUACGGGAGGCAGCAGUGAGGAAUAUUGGUCAAUGGGCGCGAGCCUGAACCAGCCAAGUCGCGUGAGGGAAGACGGUCCUAUGGAUUGUAAACCUCUUUUGUCGGGGAGCAAGGCCCGCCACGUGUGGCGGGAAGGAGAGUACCCGAAGAAAAAGCAUCGGCUAACUCCGUGCCAGCAGCCGCGGUAAUACGGAGGAUGCGAGCGUUAUCCGGAUUUAUUGGGUUUAAAGGGUUCGUAGGCGGAAGGUUAAGUCAGCGGUAAAAUGUCGGUGCUCAACACCGGCCUGCCGUUGAAACUGGUCUUCUUGAGUGAGCGAGAAGUAUGCGGAAUGCGUGGUGUAGCGGUGAAAUGCAUAGAUAUCACGCAGAACUCCGAUUGCGAAGGCAGCAUACCGGCGCUCAACUGACGCUGAGGCACGAAAGCGUGGGGAUCGAACAGGAUUAGAUACCCGGGUAGUC